rnacentral:rRNA from 1 species
AUGGAGGGGGUGAUGGCGGCGAGCGCCGUGACAGGAGCGAUGAAAACGCUCCUCCCCAAGCUCGUCACCUUGCUGGAGACCAAGUACAAGCUGUGCAGACGUGUGAAGAAGCAGAUCUCCUCCCUGAGAGAUGAGAUGAGAAGCAUGAACGCUCUGCUCGUGAAGAUGGCCGGGGCGGAGAAGCUCGAUGUUCAGCAGAAGGACUGGCGUGACAAGGUGCGUGAGCUAUCAUAUGACAUGGAAGACUGCAUCGACAUCUUCACAAGUGAGCUCGACGGCGGUGAUGCUAAGGCUGGGCGUCUGCGCAGGCUUAGGAAGCUCAAGGCGCGCUUCAAGAUUGCCGUCCGGAUUGAAGAACUCAAGGCUCGGGUGCGGGAAGUAAGCGAUUGCCGCGUUCGGCUUGAGUUUCAUGACCACAGUGGUCGGCCUCAGGACCAUGUGGCCAUUGACCCUCGUGUUACGGCACUCUAUCCCGGACCCAACAGCCUUGUAGGCAUAGAUGGCCCAAAGGAGAUGCUCAUCGAAUUGUUGCAGAAGGAAGAGGAUGCGCAGCAACUUAAAGUGGUAUCUGUUGUUGGAUUUGGAGGCAUGGGCAAGACAACUCUCGUCAAGCAAGUUUAUGAUAGUAUCAAAAGUCAAUUUCACUGCACGGCUUUUAUAUCGAUGUCUCAAAAUCCCAAUAUUAUCGAGAUUUUGCGGAAGAUGGUCAAAGAGUUACUGCACUCUGGGGCUCCAGGAGCUGAUGAGGCAGAACUCAUCGAUAUCCUCCGGACAAAUAUGGAAAACCGAAGCGAGCAUCAAUGGCGAGGGGCGGCGGCCGAGCCACAACCGUCGCCGUCAAGAGCUGCAAUGCAGGUGGAGUUGUUGCAUGGGAACUAG